UACGAAGGGGGCUAGCGUUGUUCGGAAUCACUGGGCGUAAAGCGCACGUAGGUGGUCCGCUAAGUCGUGUGUGAAAUCCCCCGGCUCAACCGGGGAAUUGCGCACGAUACUGCCGUGCUUGAGGACUGGAGAGGAGACUGGAAUUUACGGUGUAGCGGUGAGAUGCGUAGAUAUCGUAAGGAAGACCAGUGGCGAAGGCGGGUCUCUGGACAGUUCCUGACGCUGAGGCACGAAGGUCAGGGGAGCAAACGGG
rnacentral:rRNA from 1 species